UCUGUUCUUGUGUCAGUUUGCUGAGAAUGAUGGUUCCAGAUUCAUCCAUAUCCCUAUAAAGGAUGCAAACUCAUCUUUUUUUUAUGGAUGCAUAGUAUUCCAUGGUGUAUAUGUGCCACAUUUUUCUUUUCCAGUCUAUCACCAAUGGGCAUUUGGGUUGAUUCUAGUUCUUUGCUAUUGUAAACAGUGCCACAAUGAAUGUAUGUGUGUAUGUGUCUUUAUAAUAGAAUGAUUUAUAAUCCCCAGUAAUGGGAUUGCUGGGUCAAAUGGAAUUUCUAUUUCUAGGUCCUUGAGGAAUUGUCACAGUAUCUUCCACCAUGACUGAACUAAUUUACACGCCCACCAACAGUGUAAAAGUGUUCCUAUUUCUCCACAUCCUCAACAGCAUGUGUUGUCUCCAGUUUUUUUAAUGAUCUCCAUUCUAGCUGGCCUACUCAACGUGAAGACAGUAAGGAUGAAGAUCUUCAUGAUGAUCCACUUCCACUUAAUGAACAGUUUUUUUUUUUUUUUUUAUUCUACAGUCAAGAACACUCAUUAUUUUGGACAUUUCACAGAGGUGAAGAAGGUGCUGUUCUGGCUUAUGAGAAACACUAGGCCAGCGCGGUGGCUCACGCCUAUAAUCCCAGCACUUUGGGAGGCCGAGGUGGGUGGACCAUGAGGUCAAGAGAUCGAGACCAUCCUGGUCAACAUGGUGAAACCCCGUCUCUACUAAAAAUACAAGAAUUAGUUGGGCAUGGUGGUGCACGCCUGUAGUCCCAGCUACUCGGGAGGCUGAGGCAGGAGAAUUGCUUGAAUCCAGGAGGCGGAGGUUGUGGUGAGCCGAGAUUGCGUCAUUGCACUCCAGCCUGAGUAACAAAAGCAAAACUCCAUCUCAAAAAAAAAAAAGAAAAAAACACUAGCCCCAUUAGAAACAAGACAAUUAAGUUUCUAAUGAAAGUGUAGAGUGCUCCAAAUAUUUAAUCCAGGUUUGAGAAGUAGUAGGCCAGUGAUUUCAUAUGGAUUGGGGGGCAGAUAGAGACAUUUGAAGUUCCUUGAAUAUGACUCUCUACCAUUCUAUAGUGGCCAGUGAGUCUAGCUAUCUCAGUUUCUCUAGUUUCUGUGCUUUGAUGAAGCAAAAAGUACAUUGAAUUUUGAUGUUAGAUAAACUUGGGUUCACUCAUCUGAUAAACAAAUAUCAGAUGAACUUCAGACUUUUCCACUUAUUUUCAUUGGAACUCUUGGGCAAAUCUUUAAGUCUCUCCAAAUACUAGUUUCUUUUUAUCUUUAAAUUGAGAUAAAUUGCAGUUAACAUGAUGUAUGGACCAGUACCUAACAUCUCAAUGGUAAUGUAUAUAAAUGGUCUAAAUGCCCCCCUUAAAAAAUACAUAUUAGCAGAAUGUGAAAAAAUCACAAACCAAUUAUCUACUGUCUUUAAGAGACAUACCUAAUGCAUAAAGAUUCUUGUAGAAUCAAGGUAGAGGAGUAGAAGAAGAUAUUCUAUGCAAAUGGAAACCAAAAGCAAGCAAAAGUAGCUACUCUCGUAUCACACAAAAUAGACUUUAAAGCAAAAACAGUAAAAAAA
rnacentral:lncRNA from 1 species